rnacentral:rRNA from 2 species
UGGGGAAUAUUGCACAAUGGGCGCAAGCCUGAUGCAGCCACGCCGCGUGUAUGAAGAAGGCCUUCGGGUUGUAAAGUACUUUCAGCGGGGAGGAAGGGAGUAAAGUUAAUACCUUUGCUCAUUGACGUUACCCGCAGAAGAAGCACCGGCUAACUCCGUGCCAGCAGCCGCGGUAAUACGGAGGGUGCAAGCGUUAAUCGGAAUUACUGGGCGUAAAGCGCACGCAGGCGGUUUGUUAAGUCAGAUGUGAAAUCCCCGGGCUCAACCUGGGAACUGCAUCUGAUACUGGCAAGCUUGAGUCUCGUAGAGGGGGGUAGAAUUCCAGGUGUAGCGGUGAAAUGCGUAGAGAUCUGGAGGAAUACCGGUGGCGAAGGCGGCCCCCUGGACGAAGACUGACGCUCAGGUGCGAAAGCGUGGGGAGCAAACAGG